UCUCUCCUUUGGGCUUCUCUCCAAGAACCCUGGGGUUCCUCCUCUGGCUCCCUAUCCAUAUAUACUCCCACCUCAGGAAGCCUCCCCCUGUCAUGGCCUUAACCACCCCUGCUGUUGUAGGGAACUCCUGCAUCUACAGCACCAAUGCCCAUGUUUCAGUCUCUGUGCUUGAUGUCUCCACCUGGAUGGCAGCAUGGAGAUGACUUGAUUGUAACUCCCUUUGCUCAGGUCCUUGCCAGCUUGCGGAGUGUGAGAAACAACUUCACUGUACUGACAAACCUUCAUGGGACAUCCAACAAAUAGUCAAUACUCUCAAACAACUGAAGAAAAUCCAAGAGAAGGAACUGAAGGCAAGAAUGUCUGCCAGGAGUGGAUACAGCAUGCAGAGGGCCUUUCCCCACUCUCCACUCCCUCAUAUUUACUUAUCUUAAUAACUGAAACUGUAAGAUUCAUGGAAUUCAGAUGUCACUUUCUGGGAUAUUCGACUUGGGUUUUAGGAUGCCACUCCCUGUCUUGAAUGUAACAUUUAAGCAAUAAUUACGUCCUUGGAGUGGUUUUCAUGAGACAUCUGGAUAGUGUGGUUUAUAAUAUGAAAAGGAACUCCCACAUAGAACUAUACUUCUCAUAAGUCAAGAUUUAUUUUAUCUUUUGGCUCUUUGCAUAAAAGCAGUUUACCACCCAAAGGGUGGAAAUCUCAAAGUUCCUGUUGAAGUGGUUUCCUUACACCUCCAUGAAAUGCCCCAUUGAGAGAAUGCUUGAUUGGGCCUGUAUUUCUUGGCUGCAAAUUAAAACCUACAUUUCCUUUGUCCCAGGAGUUAAUUUUGAAAAUAUGGCUUUCAUUUAGGGUUGUUAAUUCAGAUAAGCAUUCUUAAAGCAUUUAGAAAUGUACUUGAUAUUAGUAAUAGGAUCAACUCUGUAUGUGGCUUCAGACAGACUAGUGGAAUGACCAGGGGUGGGAGUAAAUGUGCCCACCAUUCACCAGUCUGAUAACCGGAGGAUGGAACUGGGAGCCAAGCAGAGCACUUCUUUCAACUGUGCUGCUACCUUCGUGGCUAUCAUGGGUGGCUACCAGGAAAUCAUGUAACGUCUUUGUAUUAGCAUUCUUCCAAGGCAUAAUUUAAUCAACAUGCAUGUAAUCUUCAGGAAAGAAUUAAUAACCACUUAAAUUUGUUUUCAGUAUGUA